AUUGAACGCUGGCGGCAGGCCUAACACAUGCAAGUCGAGCGGAUGAAGGGAGCUUGCUCCUGGAUUCAGCGGCGGACGGGUGAGUAAUGCCUAGGAAUCUGCCUGGUAGUGGGGGAUAACGUCCGGAAACGGGCGCUAAUACCGCAUACGUCCUGAGGGAGAAAGUGGGGGAUCUUCGGACCUCACGCUAUCAGAUGAGCCUAGGUCGGAUUAGCUAGUUGGUGGGGUAAAGGCCUACCAAGGCGACGAUCCGUAACUGGUCUGAGAGGAUGAUCAGUCACACUGGAACUGAGACACGGUCCAGACUCCUACGGGAGGCAGCAGUGGGGAAUAUUGGACAAUGGGCCAGAACCUGAUCCAGCCAUGCCGCGUGUGUGAAGAAGGUCUUCGGAUUGUAAAGCACUUUAAGUUGGGAGGAAGUGCAGUAAGUUAAUACCUUGCUGUUUUGACGUUACCAACAGAAUAAGCACCGGCUAACUUCGUG
rnacentral:rRNA from 1 species